rnacentral:lncRNA from 1 species
GCCUAGGGAUCUGCAUGUUAGCAAGAUUCUCCAGGGCUGCUAAUGCUGGGAGUACUGAAGGCUGGUGGAUUCACACCUUGGGGGAAAGCAGAGAGUUUCCUUGGCAACAGAUGACUAAUUUAGAAGUCCCUGUGAACAGGUGGGAGACAGGAAAGGACAUGAGAAGCAACACAUCCGUAGGUGCCAAGUUUAAACAACAAGCUCCCGACAGACUCAGGGUAUUUUUUAUCACAGCGGCAUAAACGAAACUAGGACACUGACCUACACACUAAAGGCUGAGGAUCUCUACAAUGGGCUGUUCCUCAUUCCUAGCCAUGGGAGGGCCAUUUGGGAAUAAAGGCACUUCCUCUUACUCCAACAAAUUAUACUAUUGAUCUUUGAUUCCUUUUCUCAUCUCUAUUCAUCGGCCAUGGCUUAACUAGGUGUAGCUCAACUAUUCAAAUGUCCAGGGAUGAUGGAUGAAGGUGACAAGUACCAAUGUAGAC